rnacentral:rRNA from 1 species
AUUGAACGCUGGCGGCAUGCUUUACACAUGCAAGUCGAACGGCAGCACGGGCUUCGGCCUGGUGGCGAGUUGCGAACGGGUGAGUAAUAUAUCGGAACGUACCCAGAAGUGGGGGAUAACGUAGCGAAAGUUACGCUAAUACCGCAUACGAUCUAUGGAUGAAAGCAGGGGACCGCAAGGCCUUGUGCUCCUUGAGCGGCCGAUAUCUGAUUAGCUAGUUGGUGAGGUAAAGGCUCACCAAGGCGACGAUCAGUAGCUGGUCUGAGAGGACGACCAGCCACACUGGAACUGAGACACGGUCCAGACUCCUACGGGAGGCAGCAGUGGGGAAUUUUGGACAAUGGGCGCAAGCCUGAUCCAGCAAUGCCGCGUGAGUGAAGAAGGCCUUCGGGUUGUAAAGCUCUUUUGUCAGGGAAGAAACGGUAGAGGCUAAUAUCCUUUGCUAAUGACGGUACCUGAAGAAUAAGCACCGGCUAACUACGUG